rnacentral:rRNA from 1 species
AGGGCACCACCAGGAGUGGAGCCUGCGGCUUAAUUUGACUCAACACGGGAAAACUCACCCGGCCCGGACACUGGAAGGAUUGACAGAUUGAGAGCUCUUUCUUGAUUCAGUGGGUGGUGGUGCAUGGCCGUUCUUAGUUGGUGGAGUGAUUUGUCUGGUUAAUUCCAAUAACGAACGAGACUCUAGCCUACUAAAUAGAUAGUCGGCUUACAAACGUCGACUAGACUCCUUAGAGGGACAGGCGGUGAUUCAACCGCACGAAACAGAGCAAUAACAGGUCUGUGAUGCCCUUAGAUGUCCGGGGCCGCACGCGCGCUACACUGAAGUGAUCAGCGUGCUUUUUCAGCCUACUCUGUCAAGAGUGGGAAACCCAAUGAACCUUCUUCGUAAUUGGGAUAGGGGAUUGUAAUUAUUCCCCUUGAACGAGGAAUUCCCAGUAAGCGCAAGUCAUAAGCUCGCGUUGAUUACGUCCCUGCCCUUUGUACACACCGCCCGUCGCUACUACCGAUUGAAUGUUUU